UAGGGAAUCUUCGGCAAUGGGGGCAACCCUGACCGAGCAACGCCGCGUGAGUGAAGAAGGUUUUCGGAUCGUAAAGCUCUGUUGUAAGAGGAGAACGUGUGUGAGAGUGGAAAGUUCACACAGUGACGGUAACUUACCAGAAAGGGACGGCUAACUACGUGCCAGCAGCCGCGGUAAUACGUAGGUCCCGAGCGUUGUCCGGAUUUAUUGGGCGUAAAGCGAGCGCAGGCGGUUUAAUAAGUCUGAAGUUAAAGGCAGUGGCUUAACCAUUGUUCGCUUUGGAAACUGUUAAACUUGAGUGCAGAAGGGGAGAGUGGAAUUCCAUGUGUAGCGGUGAAAUGCGUAGAUAUAUGGAGGAACACCGGUGGCGAAAGCGGCUCUCUGGUCUGUAACUGACGCUGAGGCUCGAAAGCGUGGGGAGCAAACAGG
rnacentral:rRNA from 1 species